UAAGGUUGUAACUUCAGCUUCCUCUGAGCUAACCAGUUACUCUUCCCCAACUCAACCCUUCUGCUCCUUACUACUCAUUAAAUAUGACAGCACUCAACUGCCUCCGAGCUUUACUAGUUCUCAAUUUUCCCUAAAUACCUGCAUGGCUUGGUCCUUUACCUCCUUCAGUUCUGUGCCAAAUAGAAUUUUCACAAUGCUUUCCAUGAUUAUAUGUUAUAACCACACUCCCCUCCCCAUCCUGCCCCCAAAUCACUAAGCCUACUUUGCAAUUCUCCAUAGCGCUUAUCAGUGCUUCACCAUACUUAUUUGUUAGUCUCCCCAGUUAAGAAUGUUUGUUAAGACCUUUUUCACUAGUUUAUCCCCAGAGCCUAGAUCAGUGCCUGACCCAAUGUAUGUUUCAACAAACAUUUAUUGGCUAAACAUUGAAUAAGGUAAUAAUCAGGGUUCCUCUUCUACCUAGGUGAAGUAGAUAGCACUAGCCCAUACCCUUGGGAAGCUGAAAAGUCAUGUUUACUUCUCACUUCUUGUUUACUCACCUGUUUUCCCCAAAUCAUAUUAACAUGAGUUUGCAUUCCACAAUUAAAAGGAAGAAUUAAAUUAUACUAGUUAGUUAUGCUUGCUCUUCAGGGAGAGGUCUCUCAAAGGAUAGCCAUGGACAUCCUUGCAGGUUGCAAGCUGCACACAAAUGUUAGCUGCGGGGUCAUAAGUGAAAUCCUGCCUGAGUUAACUCGAUUAGUUCUGUGCCUGACCUGGGGUUGCAUUGCACUGGAGGUCAUUCCAGAGGGUUUUUCUACUUCUCACAAAGGCAGGAAAUGUGAUGGGGGCAGAAGACGUAUGAGAGAAAGGAGGACAGGCUAGACAUUAGGGGUUAGGUGUGUGAGGAAGACUUACUUUGAACCAAGAAGGCUUGUAUUCUCUUUGAAGUUGCUUGCUUCUUUUAUUUACGUUUUAUGUACCUGCAUUAUCUAUUUUUAAGGAAGGAAAAAAGGUAUAUGUGACAUCAUCAACACAUUGACAUAAUUUACCCUGAAAUAUAAUAGAUGGAUCGAUAGCAGAGCCUUCCUUAAGAAUGAGUCUGCUGGAUAUCUUCCAUUUGCCCUGCAGAUCUAUUUUCUACCCGCUGCACCCUGUUCUGUGCCCUGUGUGGUUGGUCCACAUGAACCACAUCAAUCAGCUUCCUUUCUUCUGGUAUCCAGUUGGGUUCAUCCGAUGUGGAACCUCAGAAAGAUAUUAGAAGGUCUGUCCAUGCAGCCCUGCUCCUGGGGGGAGAGGGAAAUGGUGGGAAUGAAGAAAGAGUCAGCUGAUGAAGAACUACUUCUUCUGAAAUCAACAUUCAGAAAGGUCAAUCACUUGACGUGGCUUCUUACUGGAAACAUCAGCAGUGGAUUUCGUACACUUAGGGGCUGUGGUGAACAAAACAAC